rnacentral:lncRNA from 1 species
AAUGGCAGUCUCAUUGUACAAUUUAAGAUUAUCUUUCGUAUUAUUGUGACUCAACCAGAACCUGACAAACCUGCGGUACCAGAAAUAAAACUUGAUAUAUCCAUGAUCAUUAAAGUACUGAAUUCAACAAGCUCCAAGUCAAUUUUGUCAAUUACUAGCAUAUUGGAAGUUGAACUUGUAACAGUUGGAACAACUGCUGCGCCACCUCAAACAACUGGUAUG